rnacentral:rRNA from 1 species
CCCACUAUCUAGCGAAACCACUGCCAAGGGAACGGGCUUGGAAAAAUUAGCGGGGAAAGAAGACCCUGUUGAGCUUGACUCUAGUCUGGCAUUGUAAGGAGACAUGAGAGGUGUAGCAUAAGUGGGAGAUGGCAACAUCGCCGGUGAAAUACCACUACUUUCAUCGUUUCUUUACUUACUCGGUUAGGCAGAAAGCGUGCGCCGUUCGCUCACGAGGCGGCGGCUGUCACGGUAUUCUCGAACCAAGCACGUAGAGUGGUGCUCGGCGGCCGUGUCGGCGUUCGCGUUUGCGGGUGCUUCGGUGCUCGCGGCGCGGGCGUUCGCGCGCGGUUCGUCCGGGUGCCGUUAUAUGCUCCCGUGUGAUCUGAUUCGAGGACACUGCCAGGCGGGGAGUUUGACUGGGGCGGUACAUCUGUCAAAGAAUAACGCAGGUGUCCUAAGGCCAGCUCAGCGAGGACAGAAACCUCGCGUAGAGCAAAAGGGCAAAAGCUG